UGGGGAAUAUUGCACAAUGGGCGCAAGCCUGAUGCAGCCAUGCCGCGUGUGUGAAGAAGGCCUUCGGGUUGUAAAGCACUUUCAGCGAGGAGGAAGGCGUUAAGGUUAAUAACCUUAGCGAUUGACGUUACUCGCAGAAGAAGCACCGGCUAACUCCGUGCCAGCAGCCGCGGUAAUACGGAGGGUGCAAGCGUUAAUCGGAAUUACUGGGCGUAAAAGCGCACGCAGGCGGUUUGUUAAGUCAGAUGUGAAAUCCCCGAGCUUAACUUGGGAACUGCAUUUGAAACUGGCAAGCUAGAGUCUUGUAGAGGGGGGUAGAAUUCCAGGUGUAGCGGUGAAAUGCGUAGAGAUCUGGAGGAAUACCGGUGGCGAAGGCGGCCCCCUGGACAAAGACUGACGCUCAGGUGCGAAAGCGUGGGGCAGCAAACAGGAUUAGAUACCCUGGUAGUCCAGCGCUGUAAACGAUGUGUGCCUAGAUGUUGGGUAACUU
rnacentral:rRNA from 1 species